rnacentral:rRNA from 1 species
AGCUCCAAUAGCGUAUAUUAAAGUUGUUGCAGUUAAAAAGCUCGUAGUUGGACCUUGGGCCUGGACGGGCGGUCCGCCUCACGGCGUGUACUGUCUUGCCGGGCCUUUCCUCUUGGUGAUCUGUUGUUUCGGCAGCAGGGAACCAGGACCUUUACUUUGAAAAAAUUAGAGUGUUCAAAGCAGGCUCGACGCCGGAAUAUAUUAGCAUGGAAUAAUAAAAUAGGACGUGCGGUUCUAUUUUGUUGGUUUUUGGAAUCGCCGUAAUGAUUAAUAGGGACAGUCGGGGGCAUUAGUACUCACAUGCUAGAGGUGAAAUUCUUGGAUUUUGUGAAGACUAACUUCUGCGAAAGCAUUUGCCAAGGAUGUUUUCA